GUGCUCAGGCAGCACACGAACUGAAAUCAGAACGGUCCCGAGAAGACUAGUGUGGGCCCUGAGCAAGGAUGACAUGCAAAUUCACGGAGCCUUCGCCUUUUUA